GACGAACGCUGGCGGCGUGCCUAAUACAUGCAAGUCGAACGCUUUUGUUUUCACCGGAGCUUGCUCCACCGAAAACAAAAGAGUGGCGGACGGGUGAGUAACACGUGGGUAACCUACCCAUCAGCGGGGGAUAACACUUGGAAACAGGUGCUAAUACCGCAUAAUUCUUUUCUUCGCCUGAAGGGAAGAUGAAAGACGCUUUUGCGUCACUGAUGGAUGGACCCGCGCUGCAUUAGCUAGUUGGUGGGUAACGGCUCACCAAGGCCACGAUGCAUAGCCGACCUGAGAGGGUGAUCGGCCACACUGGGACUGAGACACGGCCCAGACUCCUACGGGA
rnacentral:rRNA from 1 species